UACGUAGGUGGCAAGCGUUGUCCGGAAUUGUUGGGCGUAAAGCGCGCGCAGGCGGUUUCUUAAGUCUGAUGUGAAAGCCCACGGCUCAACCGUGGAGGGUCAUUGGAAACUGGGAAACUUGAGUGCAGGAGAGAAGAGUGGAAUUCCACGUGUAGCGGUGAAAUGCGUAGAGAUGUGGAGGAACACCAGUGGCGAAGGCGACUCUUUGGCCUGUAACUGACGCUGAGGCGCGAAAGCGUGGGGAGCAAACAGG
rnacentral:rRNA from 1 species